rnacentral:rRNA from 1 species
AGAACGACGCUGGCGGCAGGCUUAACACAUGCAAGUCGAACGGUUGUAGCAAUACAGCAGUGGCGCACGGGUGAGUAACGCGUGGAUAUCUGCCUUUUGGUUCGGAAUAACUCCGGGAAACUGGAGCUAAUACCGGAUGGUUCCUACGGGAUAAAGAUUUAUCGCCAAAAGAUGAGUCCGCGUACGAUUAGCUAGUUGGUGAGGUAAUGGCUCACCAAGGCGACGAUCGUUAGCUGGUCUGAGAGGGCGAUCAGCCACACUGGGACUGAGACACGGCCCAGACUCCUACGGGAGGCAGCAGUGGGGAAUAUUGGACAAUGGGGGCAACCCUGAUCCAGCCAUGCCGCGUGAGUGAUGAAGGCCUUCGGGUUGUAAAGCUCUUUUGGCGGGGACGAUGAUGACGGUACCCGCAGAAUAAGCCCCGGCUAACUUCGUG